UACGGGGGGGGUAAGCGUUGUUCGGAAUUACUGGGCGUAAAGGGCGCGUAGGCGGCUUGCCAAGUCAGCGGUGAAAUCCUGCAGCUUAACUGUAGAAGGGCCUUUGAUACUGGCGAGCUCGAGGGAGGUAGGGGUAUGUGGAACUUCCGGUGGAGCGGUGAAAUGCGUUGAUAUCGGAAGGAACGCCGGUGGCGAAAGCGACGUACUGGACCUCUUCUGACGCUGAGGCGCGAAAGCUAGGGGAGCAAACGGG
rnacentral:rRNA from 1 species